UCCCUUGUGGCUCAGAGGUUAAAGUGUUUGCCUGCAAGGCGGGAGACCCGGGUUCAAUUCCUGGGUUGGGAA
rnacentral:tRNA from 1 species